UACGUAGGGUGCAAGCGUUAAUCGGAAUUACUGGGCGUAAAGCGUGCGCAGGCGGUUAUGUAAGACAGAUGUGAAAUGCCCGGGCUUAACCUGGGAACUGCAUUUGUGACUGCAUGGCUAGAGUUUGGCAGAGGGGGGGGUAGAAUUCCACGUGUAGCAGUGAAAUGCGUAGAUAUGUGGAGGAACACCGAUGGCGAAGGCAGCCCCCUGGGUCAAGACUGACGCUCAUGCACGAAAGCGUGGG
rnacentral:rRNA from 1 species